rnacentral:rRNA from 1 species
UACAGAGGGGGCCAGCGUUAUUCGGAAUUAUUGGGCGUAAAGGGCGCGUAGGCGGCCUGUUAAGUCGAACGUGAAAUCCCCGGGCUCAACCCGGGAACUGCGUCCGAUACUGGCAGGCUUGAAUCCGGGAGAGGGAUGCGGAAUUCCAGGUGUAGCGGUGAAAUGCGUAGAUAUCUGGAGGAAUACCGGUGGCGAAGGCGGCAUCCUGGACCGACAUUGACGCUGAGGAGCGAAAGCCAGGGGAGCAAACGGGG